GACAGAGGAUGCAAGCGUUAUCCGGAAUGAUUGGGCGUAAAGCGUCUGUAGGUGGCUUUUUAAGUCUGCCGUCAAAUCCCAGGGCUUAACCCUGGACAGGCGGUGGAAACUACCAAGCUGGAGUACGGUAGGGGCAGAGGGAACUUCCGGUGGAGCGGUGAAAUGCGUUGAGAUCGGAAGGAACGCCCGUGGCGAAAGCGAGGUCCUGGACGCCUACUGACGCUGAGACGCGAAAGCCAGGGGAGCGAACGGG
rnacentral:rRNA from 1 species